rnacentral:rRNA from 1 species
AUUCAACGCUGGCGGCAGGCUUAACACAUGCAAGUCGAGCGGAUGAAGGGAGCUUUCUCCUGGAUUCAGCGUCGGACGGGUGAGUAAUGCCUAGGAAUCUGCCUGCUAGUGGUUGAUAACGUCCUGAAACGAGCGCUAAUACCGCAUACGUCCUGAGGGAGCAAGUGGGGGAUGUUCGGACCUCACGCUAUCAGAUGAGCCUAGGUCGGGUUAGCUAGUUGGUGGGGUAAAUGCCUACUAAGGCGAGGAUCCGUAACUGGUCCGAGAGGAUGGUCAGUCACAUUGGAACUGAGCCACGGUCAAGAGUCCUACGGGAGGCAGCAGUGGGGUACAUUGGACAAUGGGCGAAAGCAUGAUCCAGCGAUGGGGAGUGUGUGAAGAAGGUCUUCGGAUCGUAAAGCACUUCUAGUUGGGAGGAAGCGCAGUAAGUUAAUACCUUGCUGUUGUGACGUUACCAACAGAAUAAGCACCGGCUAACUACGUG